CCUACGGGUGGCAGCAGUGAGGAAUAUUGGUCAAUGGGCGGAAGCCUGAACCAGCCAAGUCGCGUGAGGGAAUAAGGCCCUACGGGUCGUAAACCUCUUUUUCCGGGGAGCAAGGGCCGGGACGAGUCCCGGUCCGGAGAGUACCCGGAGAAAAAGCAUCGGCUAACUCCGUGCCAGCAGCCGCGGUAAUACGGAGGAUGCGAGCGUUAUCCGGAUUUAUUGGGUUUAAAGGGAGAGUAGAGGGGUUGUUAAGUGAGUUGUGGAAGUUUUCGGCUCAACCGUAAAAUUGCAAUUUAUACUGGCAGUCUUGAGGACAGUUGAGGUAGGCGGAAUUCGUGGUGUAGCGGUGAAAUGCUUAGAUAUCACGAAGAACCCCGAUUGCGAAGGCAGCUUACUAAACUGUGACUGACAUUGAGGCUCGAAAGUGUGGGUAUCAAACAGGAUUAGAUACCCCAGUAGUC
rnacentral:rRNA from 1 species